AUUGAACGCUGGCGGCAGGCCUAACACAUGCAAGUCGAGCGGAUGAAGGGAGCUUGCUCCUGGAUUCAGCGGCGGACGGGUGAGUAAUGCCUAGGAAUCUGCCUGGUAGUGGGGGAUAACGUCCGGAAACGGGCGCUAAUACCGCAUACGUCCUGAGGGAGCAAGUGGGUGAUCUUCGGACCUCACGCUAUCAGAUGAGCCUAGGUCGGAUUAGCUAGUUGGUGGGGUAAAGGCCUACCAAGGCGACGAUCCGUAACUGGUCUGAGAGGAUGAUCAGUCACACGGGAAGUGAGACACGGUCCAGACUCCUACGGGGAGAAGCAGUGGGGAAUAUUGGGCGAUGGGCGAAAGCCUGAUCCAGCCAUGCGGCGUGUGGGAAGAAGGUGUUCGGAUUGUAAAGCACUUUAAGUUGGGAGGAAGGGAAGUAAGUUAAUACCUGGCGGUAUUGACGGUACCAGCAGAAUAAGCACCGGCUAACUUCGUG
rnacentral:rRNA from 1 species